AGCAGUGAGGAAUAUUGGUCAAUGGCCGGGAGGCUGAACCAGCCAAGUCGCGUGAGGGAAGACGGCCCUACGGGUUGUAAACCUCUUUUGUCAGGGAGCAAGAGGCGGGUCGAGACCUGCUGUGAGAGUACCUGAAGAAAAAGCAUCGGCUAACUCCGUGCCAGCAGCCGCGGUAAUACGGAGGAUGCGAGCGUUAUCCGGAUUUAUUGGGUUUAAAGGGUGCGCAGGCGGAGGCACAAGUCAGCGGUAAAAUCGCGGGGCUCAACCCCGCUCCGCCGUUGAAACUGUGUCCCUUGAGUGCGCGAAGGGUAGGCGGAAUGCGUGGUGUAGCGGUGAAAUGCAUAGAUAUCACGCAGAACUCCGAUCGCGAAGGCAGCCUACCGGCGCGCAACUGACGCUCAUGCACGAAAGCGUGGGUAUCGAACAGGAUUAGAUACCCUGGUAGUCCACGCAGUAAACGAUGAAUGCUAUCUGUCCGGCCGGAAUGACGGCUGG
rnacentral:rRNA from 1 species